AUACCUUUCAGCCUUGGUGAGACUUUCCAGGCAACUCUGUUUGGGGAGGGACCUACCGAAGAGGAGCAAAAACCCAGGAAACCUACUAUCCUGCAGGAAAGCAAAGUUGGUGAGUGCUACAGCAGGAAGCAAAGAGCUACCCAGAGUGCUUGAGCUUCUUCAGGAAUUCAGAUUAUCUGAAUCAAAUGAGAUAAGCGUAGCUGAAGUGAAACCUGGGGGACUCGAGCCUGCUACAUAAAUCCUACCACACAGCAGGAAAAACACUAGGCUGUAUCAGAGCUGCUGUUCCUGUAGGUCUUUGGAAACCUGUGCAACCUCAUUACCGUGAUUCUGGUGGGGAACGAAACAGUAGACACAACGAGAAGGUCAUUCCUUGGUCGUGAGGUGCGCUACGCUUCCUCCACUCUCCCCAACAUCUCCUGACAGGCUCCAGGAGAGCAUUUUCAGAAAGGGAGAGGGCCUGGACCAGCCUCUAGUGUUGUCUUCCGACACCUUCUGGUGGAGGAAAGCUGCUGCUGAAGCCAAAAAGCUCCACUGUUCCCUCUGCCCAAGCUGCUGUUUUCCCAUGCCUUCCUCGAGCAGGAACUUGCUGUUUUGAAAAACGACACUAGGAUGUGUCUUGUAUCUUCUCCUGCUCCACUCUUGCGAAAUCUAAAGAAAUUGUCAGUACUGAGGAUAUUAAGAUUUCUUCCCAAAUGGGGUGUCCCCAGGUGAUCCAGGUCCUUGAUUUAAUUGUUCUUAGCAGUAGUCAUCCCCAUGUCUUACCUGGUUUGUAACUAGAGGCAGGUUUGCCAGCUCAGUGGAGGACCUGGAGCAGUUGUAAGAUAGUGGGUGAGUAGUGAAGAGACUCAGAGAGCAGCUGAUAAUCUUAAUACUGAGUAAACCCGCAGUGCGGUUAGUUCCCCCCUUCCCCCUGAAUUUUUUUGUCCUAUUGAAAUCAGUGUACCAUAUUUUUUAUUAUUAUUAUUAAUAAUAAUUAUUUUGAGGCUGUGAGGUUGUGACUAUCUGAAAGAAGUACUAACAGGUAGGAAGAAUAUUGGUGGAAGGAGUUGGAGCUCAGUACCUGGAAGAUUAUAUCUACAUGUCUGUACAGUGGUUAACUUUGAGUGCAUUUAAUUUACACUCUUGGAAUUUAAGGGUAGUUCCCGAUCACAUAUUUCUAGAAUUCUUUCUUUAGAGGAUAAAGAAUGCCAGAACGUAAUAAUUAAAAUGAGGUCAUAUAUAUCAGACCCAAGCUAUUUGACAGCACACUUUCAAAUCUCUGCAAUGAAUUGGAUGAAAGAAACUGUUGGAUCUUGUUCUGGCAUGGGUCUUAGCUCCUUUCUUUUGACUAACUGCUUAUGACAGUAUUAUUCCACUUCAAACACCACCGCUAGAAAUACACAAGUGUAAGUGUUUCUCUGAACUGUACAGUAUAUAUUUUUAUAUAUAAAAAAGCUUAUAGCUAUAAUUUAUCUAAGCUUGGAGUUAAAAUCUAAAGAUAUGAUACAACUGAAUGUGCACAGAGGAAAACACAAAAUUCUGUAUUCUAUAUGAUUUUUAUACACAAUAUGCUUUAUCCACACUUGAAGAUGAGUAGAAGUUGGUAAAUAAAAGUAAUUGCUAUGCAAGCAGAUAGGAUAUGUGCAAAUAUAUAUAUAUUUUUCAGUAAUGGAACAAUAAUAACCAUGGCACAAAUAGUGAAAGAAAAUGAUGUUUUCUAGUUGCCUAUAUAUUCUUAUGCUAGAUUUAAAAUAAGGUAGUUUUCUGGGCAUUUUCACUGGAAACAUGCACAUUAAUCAAGUCUGCAUUGGCUGCAAGCACUAAGCUCUGCCAGUCGGUCUGAUUUCCAGGUGAUGGGACAAGGAGAGACCGCAGCAUUGCUCAGCUCUCUUAGAGGAGGGGGUCCUGUUGGGGAGAUUUCCAGGGCUCUGUUUUUCUCUUCCUCACCCAAAUCAACAUCUCUACUGGAUCCACAAUUUGCAUUUUUUUAGCAGGCAAAAGCUGAACAAGAUGCUUAGAACCAGGAUGACAGCUAUAAUACUUCAGAAAUGCAGUUUAAGACAAAUGGGCAAAUACUAAAAACUGAGAUUGAGGAGAAAGAAAUGAAGAAAGACAAAAUUUUAUAAGAAUUCACAGGGACCGUUGAUUCUUCAGCUGCAAAGACACUAGAACAGCUCUAUUUGUUGACUGUGUCCCCUCGCAGCAAAGGACUGAGACAAAGGAGUUGUUGGUUACCUGCAUCUCUCCCACUGUCCUGCCUUUCCACCUGCAGCGGUUUGAGAAAAGGAAAAACCAAGGGCAGCUUGCCUAUUUCUGGAGGUUUUUUUGA